AUUCUAUAAGAGAUUAAUAUGAAAGUUUGUAAAGAAUCUCCUAAAGUAGAUUAGCAUAGCCCCUGCAGUUUGGCAGGCAAAUUUAUGAAGCAUUCUAUUUUUUU
rnacentral:snRNA from 1 species